rnacentral:rRNA from 1 species
GGUUGGGUAGAGAAUACCAAGGCGCUUGAGAGAACUCGGGUGAAGGAACUAGGCAAAAUGGCACCGUAACUUCGGGAGAAGGUGCGCCGGUGAGGGUGAAGCAUUUACUGCGUAAGCCCACGCCGGUCGAAGAUACCAGGCCGCUGCGACUGUUUAUUAAAAACACAGCACUCUGCAAACACGAAAGUGGACGUAUAGGGUGUGACGCCUGCCCGGUGCCGGAAGGUUAAUUGAUGGGGUUAGCGCAAGCGAAGCUCUUGAUCGAAGCCCCGGUAAACGGCGGCCGUAACUAUAACGGUCCUAAGGUAGCGAAAUUCCUUGUCGGGUAAGUUCCGACCUGCACGAAUGGCGUAACGAUGGCGGCGCUGUCUCCACCCGAGACUCAGUGAAAUUGAAAUCGCUGUGAAGAUGCAGUGUAUCCGCGGCUAGACGGAAAGACCCCGUGAACCUUUACUAUAGCUUUGCACUGGACUUUGAAUUUGCUUGUGUAGGAUAGGUGGGAGGCUUUGAAGCGUGGACGCCAGUCUGCGUGGAGCCAACCUUGAAAUACCACCCUGGCAACUUUGAGGUUCUAACUCAGGUCCGUUAUCCGGAUCGAGGACAGUGUAUGGUGGGUAGUUUGACUGGGGCGGUCUCCUCCUAAAGAGUAACGGAGGAGUACGAAGGUGCGCUCAGACCGGUCGGAAAUCGGUCGUAGAGUAUAAAGGCAAAAGCGCGCUUGACUGCGAGACAGACACGUCGAGCAGGUACGAAAGUAGGUCUUAGUGAUCCGGUGGUUCUGUAUGGAAGGGCCAUCGCUCAACGGAUAAAAGGUACUCCGGGGAUAACAGGCUGAUACCGCCCAAGAGUUCAUAUCGACGGCGGUGUUUGGCACCUCGAUGUCGGCUCAUCACAUCCUGGGGCUGAAGCCGGUCCCAAGGGUAUGGCUGUUCGCCAUUUAAAGUGGUACGCGAGCUGGGUUUAGAACGUCGUGAGACAGUUCGGUCCCUAUCUGCCGUGGACGUUUGAGAUUUGAGAGGGGCUGCUCCUAGUACGAGAGGACCGGAGUGGACGAACCUCUGGUGUUCCGGUUGUCACGCCAGUGGCAUUGCCGGGUAGCUAUGUUCGGAAAAGAUAACCGCUGAAAGCAUCUAAGCGGGAAACUUGCCUCAAGAUGAGAUCUCACUGGAACCUUGAGUUCCCUGAAGGGCCGUCGAAGACUACGACGUUGAUAGGUUGGGUGUGUAAGCGCUGUGAGGCGUUGAGCUAACCAAUACUAAUUGCCCGUGAGGCUUGACCAUAUAAC